GAGUGAUUGAUGAAAAAGAGUUUUCAUAGACAUCACAUCUGGACUUGAGCUAAUUAAAUCUAUUAUAUGACUGAUGUUGAGGUUUGAUGAUUUAUUUAUGACCUGCCAUCUACUCGAAACUCACGAUAGAGGGACUGAAUCAUAUGUUAACUACACCUAGAGGUUUAUUUCAGCUCUACUAGGUUAUCACUACAUACUGCUAGGUGUCACUGAU
rnacentral:lncRNA from 1 species